UACGUAGGGGGCAAGCGUUGUCCGGAAUUAUUGGGCGUAAAGAGCGUGUAGGCGGCCAGAUAAGUCCGCUGUGAAAUCUCGAGGCUCAACUUCGAGCUGUCGGUGGAAACUAUCUGGCUAGAGUCCGGAAGAGGAGAAUGGAAUUCCUGGUGUAGCGGUGAAAUGCGCAGAUAUCAGGAAGAACACCCGUGGCGAAGGCGGUUCUCUGGGACGGUACUGACGCUGAGACGCGAAAACGUGGGGAGCGAACAGG
rnacentral:rRNA from 1 species